GCGACGACGGCGAAGAGGACGUAGACCCCGCUCGCUGGAACGUCCAGCUGCAGCAGCGGCGGCGAAGGCCCGACGCCCAUUCCGACAACGUCGUGAAAUUCAAGAACAAGGGCAAAAUUUGCCGACGUGGUUCCACCGUAAGAAACCACCGGCAGACACGGCCCGGACCAUCUAACGCAGGACAACCCGGCUACCCUCGCCACGUUCCAUCGCUCGAGCAUCAUGGGCCUCAUACUGCUGAUCCAUGGCCACCUUACGACUGCGCCACCACGACAGAACCCACAAAAUACCAACGUUACUGCAACAUGCCAUCACUACAAUUAAUCGCUCUAUCUACGAAUGUUUGGUCGCCGUAGAAUUGUACAUUAUCGUGGCUGAGCUUAUCAUGAUGCUGCACUUCGACAUGCUGCUGUCGAUCAGCAUACUGGACAUCCUCGGCUUCGGGACAGCUGGAGUCCGUUCCGGAACCGUGGCGUCGUGGCUCCAGUCUCUCCAUCAAGGAGGUGCCAUCACCAGGCGAGGAUGGUUCGCCAGCCUCCAGAGAUGGGGCAUGAACGGCGGCGUCCCGACGCAGUGCCAAAGAGCACUCAAAAUCGUCGGGUGUUGCCUGCUGCUUCUGGCACGUGAUCCCGUAUAGAGAAGCACGGCGUAACCUGGCAACCCAAGAAAGACACAGCUCAGCGUCUGCAGCUGCAGACAGGUGGAGCUGUCUUUGCCGGGUUAGCCACACACUGAUGAAUAAAAUUUCUCCAACACUCGACAUGGGCAUGCACUUCGGCAUGACUGUUGAAGAUCCGCAGGAGAGUAUGACGAACGUUGAGGAAGAAAGCGCCAUCGAGUGAGGAGAGUUCCUGAGGGAAAGUGAGUGAGAAGGGAUUGAUGGUGUUGCUCGCUGUCUCACGCAAAUGUCAUUCCCGGUUAAACCCACGCGCCAGCGUGUGGGAUUGUUGAACUCGGGUUGCUGUUAUCGUAAGGACAGCUAUCGAAUCUUUCUGUAGGCAGUCUUGGCCAAUAAUAAAUAAGCCAGUUCAUGUGCAAGUCACAAACGGGCCCCAUGAA